CCUUCUUUGAGAUGGUGGACUCGCAGA
rnacentral:sRNA from 1 species